CCAAUCAAUGGAUUAUUCAAAAAGAAAUUAGUGAAUCCGAAUAGAUUGAUAUACGUUGCUUGCUCAUUGGAUGAGAAUGAUUGAUCUCAUGAUCAUUUGUGUGGAGACACUAAAGCAAGUAUAUAGGUGUUUAUUGGAGAAUAAUUUCACUGAACGUGACUCGCUAAGGAAUACCUAUUGAAGUUUUACUUUCCUGUCAAUAGGAAUUCCUGUAGUGAUAGUAG
rnacentral:lncRNA from 1 species